GGAUAAACGCUGGCGGCGUGCCUAACACAUGCAAGUCGAACGCCCUUUUGCGCAAGUGAGAGGGAGUGGCGGACGGGUGAGUACCACGUGGGUACCUACCUUGAGGUGAGGAAUACCACCGAGAAAUCGGUGACAAGACCGCAUACGCUCGGGCAACCGAGCAAAGUCAUGCAAAUGACGCCACAAGAUGAGCCUGCGCCUGAUUAGCUGGUUGGUGAGGAACAGCUCACCAAGGCGACGAUCAGUAGCUGGUCUGAGAGGAUGAUCAGCCACACUGGGAUUGAGAACGG
rnacentral:rRNA from 1 species